UUUGAUCCUGGCUCAGAACGAACGCUGGCGGCGUGGAUAAGACAUGCAAGUCGAACGGGAUUUUCUUUGGUAGCAAUACCGAAGAAAAUCUAGUGGCGAACGGGUGCGUAACACGUGGGCAAUCUGCCUUAAAGUGGGGGAUAGCUCGGCGAAAGCCGGAUUAAUACCGCAUGUGAUCAGGGGAGACAUCUUCCCAAAAUCAAAGUCGGGGCAACCUGACGCUUUUUGAGGAGCCCGCGGCCUAUCAGCUAGUUGGUGAGGUAACGGCUCACCAAGGCUUUGACGGGUAGCUGGUCUGAGAGGACGACCAGUCACACUGGAACUGAGACACGGUCCAGACACCUACGGGUGGCAGCAGUCGAGAAUUUUUCUCAAUGGGGGAAACCCUGAAGGAGCG
rnacentral:rRNA from 1 species